UACGUAGGUCGCAAGCGUUGUCCGGAUUUACUGGGCGUAAAGAGCGCGCAGGCGGCUGGUCAAGUCCGAUGUGAAAUCUCCCGGCUCAACUGGGAAACUGCAUCGGAAACUGAUCGGCUUGAAGAUGGGAGAGGGUAGUGGAAUUCCCGGUGUAGUGGUGAAAUGCGUAGAUAUCCGAAGGAACAUCAGUGGCGAAAGCGGCUUCCUGGACCAGAACUGACGAUCAGGCACGAAAGCGUGGGGAGCAAACAGG
rnacentral:rRNA from 1 species